rnacentral:rRNA from 1 species
GACGAACGCUGGCGGCGUGCUUAACACAUGCAAGUCGAACGGAAGGCCCUGCUUUUGUGGGGUGCUCGGGUGGCGAACGGGUGAGUAACACGUGAGUAACCUUCCCUUGUCUUUGGGAUAACUUCAGGAAACUGGGGCUAAUACCGGAUAGGAGCUCCUUCUGCAUGGUGGGGUUUGGAAAGUUUCGGCGGUUGGGGAUGGACUCGCGGCUUAUCAGCUUGUUGGUGGGGUAGUGGCUUACCAAGGCUUUGACGGGUAGCCGGCCUGGGAGGGUGACCGGCCACAUUGGGACUGAGGUACGGGCCAGAGGCAUACGGGAGGCAGCAGUGGAGAGUAUUGCACAAUGGGCGGAAGCCUGAUGCAGCAACGCCGGGUGCGGGAUGACGGCCUUAGGGUUGUAAACCGCGUUCGCCUGUGACGAAGAGUGAGUGACGGUAAUGGAUAAAGAAGCACCGGCUAACUACGUG